AUGCAUAUCAAAACCUCUAUAUGCUAUGAUAUAAAGUAAUAGUCGUUGUAUAUGAAACUCAGACACUGGCUGAGUUGAGCCAUUUUGACUCCAUAAAAUGUCUGCUAACCUCACUGAAUUACCAUAUGCAAAUAAUGUGUGUAAAACUUCAUAUAUCCUAAUAUGUUUCUGUAAAAAUAGGUUAUGUUAUCAUCUGUGGAUAUCCCUUGGUCGCUAUUUCUACACCUCAGUUUCGAGAAUGGAUAGGAAGUUCAGUCUGACUUGCUCCAGAAAGAAUGCUACUUUCUGCUAUGUGGAUAAGAUACUAGACUACGUGGGUCUCUGCUCAGAGGACACAUGAUCAAAAAGGCCUCCAUUGACCAGCCAGUUCAAGUUAUCCCCAUAGUCUCUUUGAACAUCCAUCAAGGUGUUUUAAGGUCUAUAACAAGUACUGCUCUGGGAACAUAUUAGUGUUUUGUUUUUUUUCGUAUUGAUUCUCCUUUCCUGCUAUAACCUGGACAGCAGGAAAGCAAAACCUUGGUGUCUUCUGAGUCCCCUCCGUGAAGAACAGUGUCCAGCACACAGCAGGUGUUCCGUAAACAGUAAUUGAUUAACAACGGAAACCCUGUGAUAAUUGCUAAGAGUACAAAAUUAAACAAAAUGAUGUCUUUGUUCUUCAGAACUGCAAAAUAUUUGUUAUUUACAGGAAUAAGAGCUUUAACACUGUGGUUACAUUUUUUUAAUAACAAUAGCUUUUUUAAAAAUAUGCUCAUUUAUUUUGAAGCUAUCAAAAGUAUAUUUUCAAGGUUUAAUAAGGAUUUAUUUUUAGAGAGAUUUCACCUCAUAUGCUUCCAUAAUUAAAAUCUUCAACUAAUUAGCUAUAUGGAUAUUCAUGUUUAAAAUUACCAAAAUUAUUCAUUGUCUGAAAAAACAAAAGUAAGGACAUAGGCAGAGAGUUUAUUUUCAACCUUCCCCUAAUUCCCUUUGAUCUGCAUUUGUUAUGCUUUCAUUAUUUUUGCUUCUGUACAAAGAAUAGUUAUGCAAUUAUUUUUAUUUAUAAAUGCAUCUACUAUUAUAACAACAAGUAUAAUGACUAUGGAAAAACUGGGAAAGAACGAAGAAAACAGCCUGGCACAUCCUUACCAAUUACAUCACAAUUUUAAUAUAUUUUCUCCUAAACAUGUUUCAAUGUAUCAUCUCAACCCCUAUUAAAGUAUCAGAGCUUA